UACAGAGACUGCGAGCGUUAUUCGGAUUCACUGGGCGUAAAGAGCGCGCAGGCGGUCGAUCAAGUCGAGUGUGAAAGCCCCCGGCUCAACUGGGGAGGGUCAUUCGAUACUGAUCGACUCGAAGGCAGGAGAGGGUAGUGGAAUUCCCGGUGUAGUGGUGAAAUGCGUAGAUAUCGGGAGGAACACCAGUGGCGAAGGCGACUACCUGGCCUGUUCUUGACGCUGAGGCGCGAAAGCUAGGGGAGCGAACCGG
rnacentral:rRNA from 1 species